rnacentral:rRNA from 1 species
AGGACGAACGCUGGCGGCGUGCUUAACACAUGCAAGUCGAACGGAAAGGCCCGCUUGCGGGUACUCGAGUGGCGAACGGGUGAGUAACACGUGGGCAACCUGCCCUCAGCUUCGGGAUACCACUUGGAAACAGGUGCUAAUACCGGAUAAUAACCUUUCAUCGCAUGGUGUGGGGUUCAAAGUUUUUCGGCUGAGGAUGGGCCCGCGGCCUAUCAGCUUGUUGGUGGGGUAAUGGCCUACCAAGGCGACGACGGGUA